AGCGAGGCUAGAGUCACAUCCUGAUGCCAUUUUUCUUUGUCUUGGUGUGCUCAAAGUGCUCGCAGAGUAAGUCUCUGCUUAUUCGUUGGCUGAUGCUUUUCGUUGCCCAGCCAAUCACAUGCUCAGAAACAAGU